ACGCACGCUGGCGGCGUGCUUAACACCUGCAAGUCGCACGGAAAGGCCCUGCUUUUGUGGGGUUCUCGAGUGGCGAACGGGUGAGUAACACGUGAGUAACCUGCCCUUGACUUUGGGAUAACUUCAGGAAACUGGGGCUAAUACCGGAUAGGAGCUCCUGCUGCAUGGUGGGGGUUGGAAAGUUUCGGCGGUUGGGGAUGGACUCGCGGCUUAUCAGCUUGUUGGUGGGGUAGUGGCUUACCAAGGCUUUGACGGGUAGCCGGCCUGAGAGGGUGACCGGCCACAUUGGGACUGAGAUACGGCCCAGACUCCUACGGGAGGCAGCAGUGGGGAAUAUUGCACAAUGGGCGGAAGCCUGAUGCAGCAACGCCGCGUGCGGGAUGACGGCCUUCGGGUUGUAAACCGCUUUCGCCUGUGACGAAGCGUGAGUGACGGUAAUGGGUAAAGAAGCACCGGCUAACUACGUG
rnacentral:rRNA from 1 species